rnacentral:rRNA from 1 species
UACAGAGGUCCCAAGCGUUGUUCGGAUUCACUGGGCGUAAAGGGUGCGCAGGUGGGUUUGCAAGUUCGAUGUGAAAGCCCCGGGCUUAACCCGGGAAUGGCAUUGGAUACUGCAGAUCUGGAGGAUCGGAGGGGGGACUGGAAUUCUUGGUGUAGCAGUGAAAUGCGUAGAUAUCAAGAGGAACACCAGUGGCGAAGGCGGCAUCCUGGACCAACACUGACGCUGAGGAGCGAAAGCCAGGGGAGCAAACGGG